AAUAGUGAUUUGUGGUCUAUACGAGGUCAAAAAAUAACCGUUAUUUUCAAAUUUCGUGAGUUACCUACGUAUGUUCGAUUUUCGCAUUUUUUUCUGUUAUUAUUAUGGCACAUUAAAUGUUUUCAUUAAUUUUUGUCUGUUAUAUAUGUUGGCACUUGGCAAUAUCAGCCAUUUUGGAUUGUCAGUUUGUUUUUGACAGAUAAAAAGGUUAGUCGUGUUUUGGUGUGCUCUUCAAUUUUUUACUAUUCGACAAAAUGGAUUAAAGAAACUGUAUUAAGUUUUGUGUAAAAAAUUAAAUUAAAUGCGCUAGGACAUUUGAAAUGUUGACUGUGGCGUUUGGCGAGUCUACUAUGAGCACAACACAAGUUCAAUUGUGGUAUCGGUUGGAAGGCCGAGAAAAUAUCGAAGAUUCUUCGAGAUUGAAGCAGUGAAUCACUAUCAGUGAGAUGUCGGAAAAAAUAAGCCGUCUGGGUGCUUGCAAAGAAAACGCUGUCUAAGCCCUUUGAAAUAUAAUAAAAUAAUGUAUAGUGGAAUUUUGUGUAUGUUAUAUCUAUGUAGGUCUACAGAAAAAUCCGCGAAGGCAUAUAAUGUCUAUCUGGGGAUAGAUUACUAUAUUUAUCGAUUAUACUAUUAGAUUAAUAAUAAUUUAAUUAAUUAAUAUUACAUUUAUUAUAAUAUUAAAAAAAUUGGCAAUUACAAAAGCGGUAAUGUAAAAGCUUACACAAAUAGGAUAAAUCCUUAUCAUUUUAUUACACUUCAUAUUAUUACAUAUAAAAUAAUUCAGAAAUA